GAUGAAGAACGCAGCAAACUGCGAUAAGUAGCGUGAAUUGCAGACGCUUUGAACGUUAAACUUUCGAACGCACAUUGCGCCGUAGGAGUCCUACCCUACGGCACAUCUGGUUGAGGGUCGUGAUCGUAAACAGCAGGAAUAUGGCUGUAAUAGAAGUAGCUGGUGAAUCACGGGUUCGGCCCACCCGCCUCGGGUCGAACGUGUUUUGCCAUUAUGCUAUAGAGGACAAUCCCUUGCGGAUUGCCUACCACACGGAUGACUUAUCGAUGGAUGCGAUAGGUCCCGGUCUUUGGGUAUCGUAAAUUUGCUUAGGCAAAAAUACUCUUAGGCGUCGGGGACACCAUCGAUUUGCCUCAUACGUGCUUGGUGCUAGAGAGUUUUCGCUCUCCCGACCUCAACUCAGGUGUGAUUACCCGCUGAACUUAAGCAUAUCAAUAAGCGGAGGA
rnacentral:misc_RNA from 1 species